rnacentral:rRNA from 1 species
AGCAGCCGCGGUAAUUCCAGCUCCAAUAGCGUAUAUUAAAGUUGUUGCAGUUAAAAAGCUCGUAGUUGAAUUUUGGGUCUGGCCGGGCGGUCCGCCCUCCGGGUGAGUACUGUUCCGACGCCGGGCCUAUCCUUCUGGAGAGUCGGCAUGUCCUUUAUUGGGUGUGCCGGGGAACCAGGACCAUUACCUUGAAAAAAUUAGAGUGUUCAAAGCAGGCGUAUGCUCGGAUACAUUAGCAUGGAAUAAUGAAAUAGGACGCGUGGUGCUAUUUUGUUGGUUUCUAGAACCGCCGUAAUGAUUAAUAGGGAUAGUUGGGGGCAUUAGUAUUCAAUUGUCAGAGGUGAAAUUCUUGGAUUUAUUGAAGACUAACUUCUGCGAAAGCAUUUGCCAAGGAUGUUUUCAUUAAUCAAGAACGAAAGUUAGGGGAUCGAAGACGAUCAGAUACCGUCGUAGUCUUAACCAUAAACUAUGCCGACUAGGAAUCGGGCGAUGUUAUUCUCAUGACUCGCCCGGCGCCUUAUG